rnacentral:misc_RNA from 1 species
ACUGAACAGGAUAGAUAGGCAUCUUCAUGCCGAGUGGUGACAC